AUGCAGAGCAAUAAGACAUUUAACUUGGAGAAGCAGAACCAUAAGCAGCAUCAGCAUCACCACCACCAGCAGCAUCAGCAGCAACAAGAACAACAGCAGCAACAGCAGCAGCAGCCACUUCCACUGCCACCAAUACCUGUAAAUGGGCAACAGGCCAGUAGCCAAAAUGAAGGUUUGACUAUCAACCUGAAGAAUUUUAGGAAACCGGAGAGAAGGCAUUUACCCAACAUAGCUACCUCUUUGUGGGCAAUCUUCCCCCUGAUAUCACUGAAAAAGAAAUGAGGAAACUGAGAAAUAUGGGAAAGCAGAAGUUUUCAUUCAUAAGGAUAAAGACUUUGGCUUUAUCUGUUUGGAAACACUAACACUUGCAGAGUUUGCAAAAGUGGAGCUGGAUAUUAUGCCUCUCCAUGAAAGACAACUGUGUGUGUGUGCUUUGCCUGCCAUAGUGCAUCCCUUAUAGUCUGCAACCUUCCUCAGUACGUGUCCAAUGAACUACUGGAAGAAGUCUUUUCAUUGUUUGGCCAGGUGGAAAGCGCAGUAGUCAAUGGAGAUGAUCGAGGAAGACCCUCAGGAAAAAGCAUUGUUGAAAUGGAAGCCAGCUGUGUGGAAAGCUCUGGACAGAUGCAGUGAAGGGUCUUUCCUACUAACCACAUUUCCUCAGCCUGUAACAGUGAGCCUAUGGACCAGUUCGAUGACAAAGAAGGACUUCCAGAAAAACUUGUUAUGAAGAACCAGCAAUUUCACAAGAAGCAAGGGCAGCCACCUCGAUUUGCACAGCUUGGCUCCUCUGAAUAUGAGUAUGCCAUGCACUGGAAGGCAGUUAUUGAGAUGGAGAAGCAGCAGAGGGAUCAAAUGGACCACAACAUCAAGAAGCCCAUGAGAAGCUGGAGAUGGAGAUGGAGGCUGCUUGCCAUGAGCACCAGGUUAUGCUGAUGAGGCAGAAUUUGAUGAGAUGCCAAGAUCUUCAGAGAAUUGAUGAGUGGAUAACCAAGAGGUGCAAAAACAAAAGCUACUGGAGCUCAGGUAGGAAGAGGAGGAUUGGCACCAUGAAGAAGAAAUGUGAAGAAGAAAUGCGGUGGCAACAAGAAGAGAUUUGUGGCUACAGCAGGAAGGAUUCAAGGGAACCGUUCCUGAUGUGUGAGAUCAAUAGAAAUGGAUGGGCCAAAUGGCUAUGGGAGGUGCUACAGGCAUAAACAACAGAGGCACCAUACCCCCUGCUCAGGGGCCCAGCUCCUCCAGGACCUGCCACCAGGAUGCCCAAUGGAACCUUGGGAUUGAUGCCACCAACAAAUGAAUGCUUUGGCCAGGCUGCUACAAUGGAAGGAAUUGGGGCAAUUGGUGGAACCCUUCUUGCUUUCAACCGUACAGCUCAUGGAGCUGAUUUUCCCCAAACAAACAUUGCCAAUACUAA